rnacentral:rRNA from 1 species
CACGUAUUUAGCCGUCACUUCUUCUGUUGGUACCGUCAUUUAUUUCUUCCCAACUGAAAGCACUUUACAUUCCGAAAAACUUCAUCGUGCACACAGAAUUGCUGGAUCAGACUCUCGGUCCAUUGUCCAAUAUUCCCCACUGCUGCCUCCCGUAGGAGUAAGGGCCGUGUCUCAGUCCCCUUGUGGCCGUUCACCCUCUCAGGCCGGCUACCCAUCAUCGCCUUGGUGAGCUGUUACCUCUCCAACUAGCUAAUGGGACGCAAAGCUCUCUCACAGUGCUUAUAGCUUUCAUAAUUCUAAGAUGCCUUAAAAUCAUAAUAUCAGGUAUUAGCAUUCAUUUCUAAAUGUUGUCCCUAGCUGUGAGGCAAGUUCUUUACGCGUUACUCACCCGUCCGCCACCCAAAUCUAAGUUAAAAACCCAAUUCAAGUUGACUUGCAUGUGUUAAGCAUUCUGUCAGCGUUCAUCCUGAGCCAGGAUCAAACUCU